UACGUAGGGGGCAAGCGUUAUCCGGAUUUACUGGGUGUAAAGGGAGCGUAGACGGCUUGGCAAGUCAGAAGUGAAAGCCCGGGGCUCAACCCCGGGACUGCUUUUGAAACUGCCUGGCUUGAGUGCAGGAGAGGUAAGUGGAAUUCCUAGUGUAGCGGUGAAAUGCGUAGAUAUUAGGAGGAACACCAGUGGCGAAGGCGGCUUACUGGACUGUAACUGACGUUGAGGCUCGAAAGCGUGGGGAGCAAACAGG
rnacentral:rRNA from 1 species